GACGAACGCUGGCGGCGUGCUUAACACAUGCAAGUCGAACGAUGAAGCUGGAGCUUGCUCCGGUGGAUUAGUGGCGAACGGGUGAGUAACACGUGAGCAAUCUGCCCUUGACUCUGGGAUAACUGCGGGAAACUGUAGCUAAUACCGGAUAUGAGAUCUGAAGGCAUCUUCGGGUUUGGAAAGAAUUUCGGUCAAGGAUGAGCUCGCGGCCUAUCAGCUAGUUGGUGAGGUAAUGGCUCACCAAGGCGACGACGGGUAGCCGGCCUGAGAGGGUGACCGGCCACACUGGAACUGAGACACGGUCCAGACUCCUACGGGGGGCAGCAGUGGGGAAUAUUGCACAAUGGGCGAAAGCCUGAUGCAGCAACGCCGCGUGAGGGAUGAAGGCCUUCGGGUUGUAAACCUCUUUUAGCAGGGAAGAAGCGAAAGUGACGGUACCUGCAGAAAAAGCACCGGCUAACUACGUGCCAGCAGCCGCGGUAA
rnacentral:rRNA from 1 species